GCGGAAAGCGCGCGCCAGCUGCAUGCAGGGAAACAGUUCUCAUUUUGUGUGACUACAUGUCCAGCCUCGGGCCAGCUCGAGAUGGCCACAUUGCCUGGUUGAAGAUGGCUGAGUGUAAACCAGAAUACAGGUCAGCUGGGGCACCUACUCUGGAGGCUGAGGCAGGAGAAUUGCUUGAACUCAGGAGGUGGAGGUUGCAGUGAGCUGAGAUCAUGCCACUACAUUCUAGCUUGGGUGACAGAGCAAGACUCUGUCUCAAAAAAGAAAAAAAUUAAUUUACCUGACAACAUGUAGGUUUGAAAGAUUAAAGCCAGUUGGGAGGGCUAUACAGGCCAGGGAUCUAUUCAUGGUUUCUGAAGUGGGAUCCCUUUUUAAAAACAUCUUUUCAUGACGAUGACUAACACUACAGAAGCUACACUAUCACCGACAGUAAUCCUAAACCAAGUCCUUCGACGCAGUUCAUUAGCUUUACUCUUUUGACUGUGAUUAUGUAAGAUGUAGUUGACUUCAAGAAUGGCCACUACCGAAAUGUAUCCUGUACAGCAAGAUUUUCUUUAGGUUUCCUUUAGAUACCUUUUAUUUCUAGCAUUAACUUUGGAGGAACUUUUACUCCCCUAGGAGUGCAGCCAAGUUGACCUUUUCAACCCUGAAUCCUAUUAUUUAUGGAAUCGGUGAUUCUAUUCAUUAAGUCACAGUAGGUCUGGCUUCACACUAAUUUUAGAAGCUCUUUCCUCUUGUUACCAGGCAAGACAACAAAUGGCCUGGUUUGCCUUUUGGGAGGUAAGAAACCAAAAGUACU